UACGAAGGGAGCUAGCGUUGUUCGGAAUCACUGGGCGUAAAGCGCACGUAGGCGGAUGUGUCAGUCAGGGGUGAAAUCCCGGAGCUCAACUUCGGAACUGCCUUUGAUACAGCACGUCUUGAGUCCGAUAGAGGUGGGUGGAAUUCCUAGUGUAGAGGUGAAAUUCGUAGAUAUUGGGAAGAACACCGGUGGCGAAGGCGGCUCACUGGCCCGUAACUGACGCUCAUGCACGACAGCGUGGGGAUCAAACAGG
rnacentral:rRNA from 1 species